rnacentral:lncRNA from 10 species
CAGGACCUGCUGAACCUGGGGCCCUAUAGGAGAGCACUGAUGGCCCACCCCUGAUUGUGGCCCUGGUCUUCAUGUCUGCAUCAGCCUCAGCCAUCUCAAGACCACAACAGGAACAUAGCCAAGUCAGAGAAGGAAGACCAAAAGCACCAGGGCCCUUCAUAUUAUUAAGCUGCUAAAUUAACUAAUCUUGGAAACUUCUAGACUCUACAAUUCUUGUUGUAUGAGAGUGGAUUGACAAUUAUUCUCUGGACUUUUUGGUAACCAAGAACUUCUAGCAACUAACCCUGGCAUGACCACCAGAAUCUGCAGGGCUGAGAGAAGAAAGAAAGGCAAAAGUGGAUGAAUGCAGCUGAAGAUGCUGUGGAACUCCUAUCACAUUCCAAGUGCUGUGUUGAUAUCUGGAGAUAUAGACAAGAUCGAAGCAGAUGCAGUCUUUCACAUGAAUAUUUGAAUCAGGCACAGGAUGCAGGUGAUGGGUAUUGGCCUCAGCUUUAGAGACCAGAGGUUAAAUCUCAGUGCUGCCUGCCACAAAACGAUCCAUGUAAGUCAAUAAACAAUGCUUUUUAAAAUAUUAUUAUAAAG